GACGAACGCUGGCGGCGUGCUUAACACAUGCAAGUCGAACGGAAAGGCCCUGCUUUUGUGGGGUGCUCGAGUGGCGAACGGGUGAGUAACACGUGAGUAACCUGCCCUUGACUUUGGGAUAACUUCAGGAAACUGGGGCUAAUACCGGAUAGGAGCUCCUGCUGCAUGGUGGGGGUUGGAAAGUUUCGGCGGUUGGGGAUGGACUCGCGGCUUAUCAGCUUGUUGGUGGGGUAGUGGCUUACCAAGGCUUUGACGGGUAGCCGGCCUGAGAGGGUGACCGGCCACAUUGGGCCUGAGAUACGGCCCAGACUCCUACGUGAGGCAGCAGUGGGGAAUAUUGCACAGUGGGCGGAAGCCUGAUGCAGCAACGCCGCGUGCGGGAUGACGGCCUUCGGGUUGUAAACCGCUUUCGCCUGUGACGAAGCGUGAGUGACGGUAAUGGGUAAAGAAGCACCGGCUAACUACGUG
rnacentral:rRNA from 1 species